rnacentral:rRNA from 1 species
UACGUAGGAGGCAAGCGUUGUCCGGAAUUACUGGGCGUAAAGCGCGCGUAGGCGGACCUGCAAGUCGGGGGUGAAAGCCCGAGGCUCAACCUCGGAACUGCCUUCGAUACUGCGGGUCUCGAGUCCGGGAGAGGUGAGUGGAAUUCCUAGUGUAGAGGUGAAAUUCGUAGAUAUUAGGAAGAACACCAGUGGCGAAGGCGGCUCACUGGCCCGGUACUGACGCCUGAGGCGCGAAAGCGUGGGGAGCAAACAGG